AGCAAACAAAAAACAAAAACAAAAACAAAUAACUACUUUCCUUUUCAAUUGAAAGUUCAGUAUACAAAGGGACUUGGAAGCAACCCAGAAUUAGCAAUCACAGUUGUCGCAGGCAGCUUGAAUAUUUAAAUGUCAAUGUUAAACUGAACAAUCUUGGUUGACAGCAAUGCCUGUCUUGCUGAACCAUUAACUAAGACUGGUUGUUGCAUCAAAGAUGACACAUGACAUAUACCAUUUAUUGAAUGAGAUGGAUGUUGACUAAUACCCCAGGUGUUUCUCUGAUUGAUUGUUUAUCCAUUACAUGCAUACUUGGUGACAGCAAUGCCUGUCUUGCUGAACCAUUAACUAAGACUGGUUCUUGCAUCAAAGAUGACACAUGACAUUGGUGUACCAUUUAUUGAAUGAGAUGAAUGUUGACUAAUACCCCAGGUGUUUCUCUGAUUGAUUGUUUCUCCUACAUGCAUACUUGGUUAACAUAUAUGGACCACUCAUACUCUUUGCUAAGAGAACACUCCUAACUAUCUUAAAUUAUUUGAUUGCUUACCUGCUGACUGCUGUACUGUCACCUUAUGGUUAUCUAAUAUAGUUGGUACUUCUUUUUUCUCAGACACAUAUAGUUGGCUAUUGUUUUUUUAAGGAAAACAAUGACCUUAAGAUAGGGAGCCAUGCAGCUAGACCAUAUUUUAUUUUUGGUUGAUGUAGUUCUUGAAAGGAUCUCACAAGAAUAACAGAGAACUCUGAUGCAC
rnacentral:lncRNA from 1 species